rnacentral:rRNA from 1 species
GAUGAACGCUGGCGGCGUGCCUAAUACAUGCAAGUCGAGCGAACGGACGAGAAGCUUGCUUCUCUGAUGUUAGCGGCGGACGGGUGAGGAACACGUGGAUAACCUACCUAUAAGACUGGGAUAAAUUCGGGAAACCGGAGCUAAUACCGGAUAAUAUUUUGAACCGAAUGGUUCAAAAGUGAAAGACGGUCUUGCUGUCACUUAUAGAUGGAUCCGCGCUGCAUUAGCUAGUUGGUAAGGUAACGGCUUACCAAGGCAACGAUGCAUAGCCGACCUGAGAGGUUGAUCGGCCACACUGGAACUGAGACACGGUCCAGACUCCUACGGGAGGCAGCAGUAGGGAAUCUUCCGCAAUGGGCGAAAGCCUGACGGAGCAACGCCGCGUGAGUAAUGAAGGUCUUCGGAUCGUAAAACUCUGUUAUUAGGGAAGAACAUAUGUGUAAGUAACUGUGCACAUCUUGACGGUACCUAAUCAGAAAGCCACGGCUAACUACGUG